GGAGCUGCAGACUCAGGUGAAGUUAACG
rnacentral:piRNA from 1 species